CCUCCUUCCGCCUCGCUCCGCCUGCCGCUGUACUACGCCUCCACAUCGCUUCCGCCCGUCGCUGUACUUCGCCUCCACAUCGCCAUGAAGGUGGUCCUUCGCUGACCUGUUCAUCCAUCGCUCGUCUUGUUCGUCUCUCUGUUCUCCGGUCCUCGUCGUCGUCAAGGGAUUGGCAUCAUCGGUUCAUAAUCAAGUUUGACUCGUUAUCUAAUCUGCUGGGCAUAUCGACUCUGCGGCUAAGGUGCGCUUCCCACUCUUUUUAACUUGUUUCGGUUGAUUGUGCUUGGAUUGCGUCUGCUUAUUCGCAGUUAUUUUCGUUGCGCAAUUUGUGAUAUUUGUGAAAUGCCACAUCUUUGAUAUGAUCUCUUAUAGCUAAGAAAAGGUAAAAAAACAUCCUUUUGUCUUCCAACUCAACAAUUAUUUGACAUUGCUAAAAUAUAACCAUUUUAUUUUCCUUAACUAUAUCUUGACCAUAUAGGUCAACACUGACUUGUUUUUGGCACACAUGGUUCCCAUUGCCUUGUUAUGAAACAAGGAAUAAGCAGAUACCAAAAUUUAGGGUCGAUCGAUGGGUACGAAACACAUAUGUCAAUGAAGUAACUUUGGGGAACCAUGAACUCAAAAAUUUAGGAGCACUUGACAGCGAGACGGAGUUAACUGAAAGUGAUCUACAAAUAAUCGUGUCAUUCUCUUGUAUGAGAUCUGAAGCAAGGUUGUUGGGUCAGUUCUUGUUUUGCUUCUUUGAGAUUUCGGUUUCUGCCUAUGUUACUUUGUUGAUGCUCAUGAGGUGUUUCUUGUUAUGUCUGCUUCAAUUUUCUUUUAUUUUUUCUGUUGUGUGAUUUUCCAAGCAAGGUUGUUUGGUCGAUUCUUGUUUUGCUUCUUUGAGGCGUUUCUUGUUAUGUCUGCUUCAAUUUUGUUUUCUUUUUUCUAUUGUGCGAUUUUCCAAGCAAGGUUGUUUGGUCGAUUCUUGUUUUGCUUCUUUGAGCUUUCGGUUUCUGCCUCUGUGAAUACGCUCAUCAGGUGUUUCUGCCUCUGUGAAUACGCUCAUCAGGUGUUUCUUCUUAUGUGUGCCAAGUUUGCUGUGCUAGAUAGAUGACAUGCCUGCAGCACAAGUUAUGUUGAAACCAAGUCUGCUGUGAAUGAUAAGCAAGGUUGUUCGGUCGGCUCUUGUUUUGCUUCUUUCAGAUUUCGAUUUGUGCCUCAUGCUAUCAUUAUCCCAUCAGAGUAGGUACACAUCAGAGGAGGUUCAAUCAUGUUAUGAUUAUGGUUUCUAUAAUUUUAUUAUAGAUGGAUGCUUCUUUUUUCCUUGUUUGUUCUGUACAACAAAGUGCACUUUUGAUUGAUAUUAUUACAUGUUAUUAAAAGUGCAGAUUGUAGUUUUGAUCACUCAUGUAAAAUUGAGGGAGUCAUUAACAGUAGGUGGUAAUUGAGGUCGUACAAGGAUAUCUUCAGUUCUUGAUAAAGCAUAGUGCCAUCUGUCUUCCCCCCUUUUGUUCUGCCAGAUCUGGUUCUCUUUAUUUUCUCUACUUGUUCUUGUUGUGAGGUUCUUGAUGAGUCUCAUACAGAUUGAUAUGGUGUACAUUUUUGCAAGUGUGUGUACAGUCUGAACAAGUGAUUAGUAUAUGGCCAAGGCAGUUUUGCGGCGUUUAGUACACUGCUAUUUGGGCAGGCCAGCAAAGAAUUGCUUUAGUGAUUGUUGAGCUGUGUUGUACUUUUUCUUCACAUGAAAUGAUCUCUUUGUUGAUCUUUUUUCCCCGUUUUCUUGGAGAGUGUUGCCUUUGCAAUGGUUUGGCCAUAAAUUUUUUGUGUUGCGAUAGCCAAAUACUGAACUUUAGAGGGAGACAUUCGCUGUUUUUCAGAAUUGAUGGAACUACAAAAAAUAACUGGCUCUGCUUAAUAAUUCUGCUUACACCCCUAUUUGUAAAGAUUUUUGUUUAGUACACGCUUGAUACCUAGCACCAGUACCCCUGUUUUGUUAUUACUACCCCCGUUGCUAAAUAUAAGAUGUUUUAGUAGUUCAAUUUUAACUGCCAAAACAUCUUGUUUCUAGAAACAGAGGGUGUAUUUGACUGCAAGAUUUGAUAGCAAAGCAUACCAGUAAGUGGUCCAAAGAAAGGACUUUGUAGUGAUCUGCUGCAGGUUCUCAAGGACUACUUGCAGCCUUUGUGUGUGUUUUUAGUCUUCUCAUGAUUUACUUCCUCACAAAACUAAGCAGUGUGGUUGACUUACAUUAUGCUCAGCAUAUCGACUCUGCUGCUAAGGUGCGCUUUCCACUCUUUUUAGCUUGCUUCUGUUGCUUGUUCUUGGAUUGCAUCUGUUUAUUCGCGGUUAUUUUGCUUGCAUGAUCUAUAAUAUUUGUACGUAUCGACGAGCAGGGAACAUGAAUUCCAGUGAUCCUGGUACCGAUCAUGCUGCUGCACACAGUUGAUCUGUUGCUCGAAGUCGUAGUAGAGCAGCAGCACGUCUUACGUUGUUCAAAAGUGCGUUGCGGUUUGAAAUGAUUGUAGGUUAUUGUUGUACUUACAACGCUGCAUUUUGUGCAAUGUGAACUUAUGUGUAAAUCACCUCUUUAGGCGCCUUGAGUUCUGUACCUAGAUCAUCAUCCUUUGGUGCAAACAGUCCUUUUAUGGGUAUGUGCCAUCAAUACUGUAAUUCAAACAAGUAGAAUAACACCCUUUUAACACAUCUAUACCAAUCUGAAAAUUUCCUUAGGCGGUGGUUUCUUUCCGGUUCUGUCACGUACAUACAGCCGGUUAAGGCGACAUCAGCGAAUGCGAAAGAGAAAAAUGCGAGUGUGGCGUCGAACAGGUCUGCCCUGCUUGUGUCGGCUCACAUCCCACUAUAAAAACAAAGCCUAACUCGUUAUGCGCCUGUGCUAAAUUAUUUCUUUCAUUUGUUUUAAGGUUACCCCUACCAGACUACAUCUACCACGCGCUCUCUGUUUUCUUCUGACUACACAGAGUUCUUAAAAGAUGCUUUUUGACUCGCUGUCUGAUGUGUCGCCGACAAGCCGACACUGGUCUAUUCGCGUCCGUGUUGCAUGUAUGUGUUACUACUGUGGAACAUGUGAUGGACAACCUCCAAUACAUGUUGACCUGUGUUGGUGGAUGAAAAGGGUAACCAUAUUUAUGCUGAGAUUCCUAGAAAUGAGGCAACCAAGUUCAAACAGCUUGUUGAAGAACAAAAAGUUUAUUGCUUCAAGAAAUUAUUGGUUUUCGAAGCAAAGCCUCUUACAAGCCGUUCCUUGCCAAGUACAUGAUUAGGUUCACACCCUGGACCACUGUUGUACAUGCUGAGGAUGUUGAUCCAGAGUUUCCUAUGUAUGUGUACAAACUAAUGCCAUUUUCCGAACUUCCAUCACGUGUUGGUGCGCAGGAUUUCUUUGUUGAUGUCAUUGGACAAAUUGUUGGUGUGUCACAGUUGGCAUACGUGCGAAUGCCUACAAACACAACAGACACUCCAAAGCAGGUCACUGCCUUCAGAGAUGAUAGGAAUACCGAAAUGAAAAUCGUUCUUUGGGGACAAAGGGUUGCUGAGUUUGAAGCGCAACUUGUGUAUGACAAUGGACAGAACUUACCUGUUAUUGGUGUUUUUGUUGGCCUUCUAAUGAAAUCUUACAAUAAUGAUGAAACUCUUAGCAGAGGAUCUGCAUGCAGAUGGUAUCUAAACGAGGACAUUCCUGAAAUAGAUGACUCCUUUGAAAGGUUGGGUGAUGAUUUUCCAAAAAAUUCAAUGGAUAUCAAAUGGUGCUGAGAAGUUUGCCGCAAAAAGCAACCGAGGUGACCUCCCACAGAAAACUGUCGACGAGCUGCGAAACAUGGAUCCAUGGGAGGCAGAGAACACAUAUUUUCUUUGCACUGCCACAAUUACAAAAGUGAUGCCUGAGCAGCCAUGGUGGUUCCAAUCUUGUUGUAAAUUCCAUUGUUCUGCCACCUCUUAUGGCUCGGAAUUCAGAUGCAGUGCAAGAUGUGUCUCAACAAAAGCUUACCCAAAGUUCCGCCUUUGUUUAGAAGGAACGGAUGGCACAGGCGCAUCCGAGUUUGUGUUCUUUAACAGAGUUGCACAACAACUUGUUGGAAAAUAUGUCAUGGCACUGCUAAGGUCAUCUGCACUUCCUCGUGAAAUAGCUGCAGUUGUGUCUCAGAAAUAUACCCUUGCUGUCUCAGUGACCCAGAAGAGCCUCUAAAAGAGAAACAUUUCAUUCCAAGUGAAUGGCAUUCAAACCUUUUUUGGGAGACAUGACUCUAUGUCACAUGAUACUCGUGCUCCUACUAUUAUGCCCCUAGCGAUUCCAACUGGAUCUUCAAGUGGUCAUGCACUUGCUGUAUCUACCAACCCGAGCUCUGUAGACAACAUGCCUGAGCUCCCCAUAGUAGCUGAAAAAGAAAUCAAAAAGACAAGCGCAUCACGUGUGCUUCUUCGCCUCCUGAAGAGAAAGAAUACUGAUGGCUCUGCUGAAAUAGAGUUGUCAAGCAAAGUGACCAACAACGAUGCUUCAAGUGAUGGAACUACGGUGCUGGCAAUUACACCUCUCGUGUAAGUGUCUCAUCAAUUUCAAAAGAACUAUCGUUUGAUCUUGCUUCAUUCCGAUCAAUUGAUUGUAAUGCCGCUUGUACCACACACAACUCAACAAACAAGAUCAAAGACAAGAACAUUGAAGUUGACAACACGGCACUAAAGGGCGCUGCAUUUGCCACUCCUUCAAGCCUGUCUCUACCACAAGACUUCAUUCCUCCAUCAAGGUAACCAGAACAUUAUUAGUCCUCCGACUCUUUGGUUGUUAUAUACUAAGAUCUUGCCGCUGGUCCUCAGCGCUGCUGAAGACCUUACAGUUGAAUCAGGAACUUCCACUAAGCAGACUAACCCUCCUAAGAAAUUUAAGAUGGGCAAGACUGUUGUUACUGCCUCUAAUACUCCAAACAAGCCUAAGAAGGGACACACUGGCUCCAAAAAAAAGUGAUAUCCUUCACCUCUUGCGUUUGGAUGGUCACAUGAGCACAAGAUGCUAGCGUUUAAGCUCAUCCGACUCUGCAUGUUAACUAUUCCUGCGAAUGCAACUCCCUUAUGUUAUGUAAUAUAUCAAUGAUCCACCAAAGUAGUAGUGGAUCCAAACUUACCAGUAUUCGAUGAUAUCGAGCUCAUGUUCAGCCAAGUGCUUUUCCGUUUACCGCUGCUUGUCAGCGUAAGCAGAUUUGUUGUGCAUCUGUUCUGUAGCAGAAUGUUAAAAGACUUAAUAUUCAGCUAGCUGCUUUUCCCUCUCAUGCCACCUAUUGGCACAGGCAGAAGAGCCGAGUACGUAUUGUAUAUAGUUUAUUCUACACUAGAAGCUUGUAAGACCUAAUAUUCAGCUAAUUGCUUUUCCCUUUCAUGUCACUUGCUGACAUAAGCAGAGGUGCUGACUACAUAUUGUACAUAGUACUACCUUGUAAGACUUGAACCUAAGUUAUGGUUUCCCUUAUGCAGUGAAGUACUUAUGUGUAUUA